ensembl:snoRNA
UGGACAUUUAUUUUAAAGUGUUUUCUUCUUACGGUGAAGAUAACUCUUUGUAAAUGUUCUAGAAAAAUAGAGUUCUGUGUGCCUUUGCAAGAAAAAGGAUGCAUCGUUCCACUACUGACAUUU